rnacentral:tRNA from 1 species
ACUUAGAUAGCUUAAGUUUGAAAGUUUAACUCUGAAGAAGUUAUUAUAGGGAAAUCCCUUCUAAGUA